rnacentral:rRNA from 1 species
UGCCGCGUGCAGGAAGACGGCCCUAUGGGUUGUAAACUGCUUUUAUACAGGAAGAAACACUGCUACGUGUAGCAGCUUGACGGUACUGUAAGAAUAAGGACCGGCUAACUCCGUGCCAGCAGCCGCGGUAAU